CAGUAGCCGCGGUAAGACAGAGGAUGCAAGCGUUAUCCGGAAUGAUUGGGCGUAAAGCGUCUGUAGGUGGCUUUUCAAGUCCGCCGUCAAAUCCCAGGGCUCAACCCUGGACAGGCGGUGGAAACUACCAAGCUGGAGUACGGUAGGGGCAGAGGGAAUUUCCGGUGGAGCGGUGAAAUGCGUAGAGAUUAGGAAGAACACCGGUGGCGAAGGCGACUUUCUGGACGAAAACUGACGCUGAGGCGCGAAAGCGUGGGGAGCAAACAGGAUUAGAUACCCCAGUAGUCCCUGUCUCUUAUAA
rnacentral:rRNA from 1 species